AACCAACAAAGAAUGAAAAUGAUAAUAAAAAGGGAUUCUACAACUGUGUCACAAGUCAGAGAAAGACCAUAGAAAUCAUAAGAACUUUAUAGAAUGCAAAAAUCAGUCUAGAUGAUGCAGAGAAGUCUGAAAUAUUUAAUUCCUUUUAUACUUCAGUGUUUGCAAAUAAGGUCAGCUACCAGAGAAUGACUACAGUUGGCAGGACUGGUAACAAAGGAGACAAACAGCCUAGAGUAGCAGAAGAAUGGAUUGGGAAAUAUUUAGAAAAGCUUGAUGCUUUCAAGUUGGCUGAGCUUGAUGCAAAACACCCUAGAGCAGGGGUCAGCAGCCUUUUGCUAGCACGGGCCAGACCUUAUAAACUGGCUGUAGCUGUGGGCCAGAAGUCUCAGCCUCUCCCUCUUUCCCUCCCCCAGAGCAGCUGGCUGCCAGAUUCCCACGCCUUCUGCAGCAAAGGACACUGAGGAUCAGCAGGCUUUGCAGCAGUGGAGAGCACCAAGGAGCAGAGAAACACCACAGCACAGUUCUGAGAGACCAAUUCAUUGUGUCAGAUAUGACCUGCAAAGAGGUCUCAUCUGGCUUGUGGGCUGUAGGUUGCUGACCCCUUUCUUGGAAUACUGAAAGAAUUGGAAAAUUCUUGGGAAACUGGGGAAAUUUCGGUGCCAUUGGACAUCAUCUUUGGGAAGCUCUGUCAAGUGAGGUCCCAGAUGACUAGAAAAGGACAAAUAUAGUCCUGAUUUUAAGAAGGGAAAAAAAGAGAACCUGGAGAAUUACAGACCACUCAGCUGGACCUUGAUACCCAGAAAAAUUAUGAAGCAGGUCAUCAAGGAAUCUAUUUUGAAGCACCUGAAAGAGAACAAGGUGAUCAGGAACACAGCCAGCAUGGAUUCACCAAGAGAAACAACUUUGACCACCUGAAACCUGAGAUCCUGCUCCUGCCUUUGUCUAAAGUAAUUUGCAUCAUCACAGUCACACAGGAGAGCUAAGACUCCUUACCAGCUAAGAACUGCUACCCAGAGGAUUUUUCCAUCUACAGACUCCUCUGCGAAAUCCUAUGAAACAUCAACUUUCAUUUCUACCGAGAAGAACUUUUACAGUCUUUUCUCUGAUGCCUGAUGAAGGGUGUUUGUGCCCAAAAGCUUGCAAUUAAAGUCAUUUUUCAAAAAAUUUUGUUGGUCUAAUAAAAGAUAUCACCUUUGUCCAUGA